GACGAACGCUGGCGGCGUGCCUAAUACAUGCAAGUCGAGCGGACGAAUCGAAAGCUUGCUUUUGAUUCGUUAGCGGCGGACGGGUGAGUAACACGUGGGCAACCUGCCCUGUAGACGGGGAUAACACCGAGAAAUCGGUGCUAAUACCGGAUAACACGAAAUGUCGCAUGACGUUUCGUUGAAAGACGGCGCAAGCUGUCGCUACAGGAUGGGCCCGCGGCGCAUUAGCUAGUUGGUGAGGUAACGGCUCACCAAGGCGACGAUGCGUAGCCGACCUGAGGGGGUGAUCGGCCACACUGGGACUGAGACACGGCCCAGACUCCUACGGGAGGCAGCAGUAGGGAAUCUUCCGCAAUGGACGAAAGUCUGACGGAGCAACGCCGCGUGAGCGAAGAAGGCCUUCGGGUCGUAAAGCUCUGUUGUUAGGGAAGAACAAGUAACGCAGUAACUGGCGUUACCGUGACGGUACCUAACGAGAAAGCCACGGCUAACUACGU
rnacentral:rRNA from 1 species